UGUCCUCAUCUCUCCUCUCGCGACCUAUAUUAAGAUUGUACGACCUGGAAGUGACGGGCAUACCAAAUGGAUCCAUGGAUGGAUGAAACUAUGAAGAAGACUCAUGUCAGCCGCCAAGCUACCCGAAAACUUCCAAAUCUUGCGUGGAUUUUUCAAUGAGUUGCACACCUCAAUUCGGUUGUUGCGGUUGACAGGAUUAAAGCCCAGUUUCAGCAACAUUUACUCCCAAAUCGACUGUUUAACAGAUAGUGAUCCUGACAUGGCAGAUCCUCUUCUUCAAUGGUAAAUGACUGAAAAAUAUUGUCCCAUCACCGCGGAAAAUGAGCUGUCCAUUGUGACCAUAAUCCAUGGAGAAAAAAUUUGGGCUAUAUAAGAGCUCAG